rnacentral:rRNA from 1 species
UACGGGGGGAGCAAGCGUUGUUCGGAUUUACUGGGCGUAAAGGGCGCGUAGGCGGCCACCGCAAGUCAAUUGUGAAAUCUCCGGGCUUAACUCGGAAAGGUCAACUGAUACUGCGGGGCUAGAGUGCGGAAGGGGCAACUGGAAUUCUCGGUGUAGCGGUGAAAUGCGUAGAUAUCGAGAGGAACACCUGCGGCGAAGGCGGGUUGCUGGGCUGACACUGACGCUGAUGCGCGAAAGCCAGGGGAGCGAACGGG